AUACGGAGGGUGCAAGCAUUAAUCGGAUUUAUUGGGCGUAAAGGGCGCGUAGGCGGCGUGAUAAGUCAGAUGUGAAAUCCCGGAGCUCAACUUCGGAACGGCAUUUGAAACUAUCACACUAGAGGGUAGGCGGAGAAAACGGAAUUCCACAAGUAGCGGUGAAAUGCGUAGAUAUGUGGAAGAACACCGGUGGCGAAGGCGGUUUUCUAGCUUAUUCCUGACGCUGAGGCGCGAAAGCAAGGGGAUC
rnacentral:rRNA from 1 species